UUUCCGUAGGUGUACCUGCGGAAGGAUCAUUACAGAGUUCAUGCCCUCACGGGUAGAUCUCCCACCCUUGAAUAUUUAUACCUUAGUUGCUUUGGCAGGCCGUGGAAACACCAUGGGCUCCGGCUUAUGCGUGCCUGCCAGAGGAAACAAACUCUGUUUUUAGUGAUGUCUGAGUACUAUAUAAUAGUUAAAACUUUCAACAACGGAUCUCUUGGUUCUG
rnacentral:misc_RNA from 1 species